CUUCCAUUCCCUUACUUUGGUAAGAUGGGAAAGACCAUCAAAAUUUGCCAAACACAUUGAGCACAUGAAUGGGAGAGAAGUCUGGAGAAAAUCAACCUGAAGAAUAUCAACCAUGUUGCAGGAGGAAUAAAAAGUUUUAGGUCAAGAAGAUUGAUGAGUUUCGUUGUCUGAUUGAGACACAUUAAAUCUUCGGUCUGUUGUCUUCUCUGAAACUUG